rnacentral:lncRNA from 1 species
GCCCAUUUUCUUCAUCUGCCGCAACGAAAACGAAGUGCCUUUCUAAGAUGCGCUAUUUUAGAGCCCGGUGUGGAACUGUAGAGUGUUGCUGGUCCAGCAUGUGCAAUAGCUUCAUCAAAGACAGAGCUGAAUAGUAAAAAGCGGAGAAACAUUUAAUUCAGGGUGUCUUACACUGGAAGAAAAGGGACUUGGGUGUGAACUGGAACUAAGAUCACAGGAAGGUUGGAAUUUAUAGCAGAAGGAGCAAAGUGAGAUUAAGAUGACUAAGGGAAAACUGGAAGGGUAAGAGGGGAUUCUGGCUAAAGGGACCGAACCUCGUUCUUGCAUCGCUUACAUCAGCUAUCACUUGGAGGAGUAGAGGACAAUUAGGAAGAUCAGAUAUGAAGAAUGGGAUAUUGGCUAUCCAUCCACCUUAGCAGGAUUUUUGCCAACAUUGGACAGUUGUAGAAAACCUUUAAAAAUCGUUGUCGGAUGACUCCAAUGUCUGGCUUAUUCCAGAGAGUUGGAGAGAUGCAAGCCCUUUUGGGAGUCAGUUUAAUGUAUGCAAGAAACCCCACAACCUCCUCUUCUUUACCUUGCUCUGGUCUAAGGAUGUCCAGGGUCUUCAAAAAUCUCAAAAGAUAAAAAUAAAGUCUUAAAGUGUCUAAACC